GAUGAACGUUGGCGGCGUGGAUUAGGCAUGCAAGUCGAGCAAGAAGUGUAGCAAUACACGGAAAGCGGCGAAAGGGAUAGUAACACGUAGGUACCUACCCCCGGGCCUGGGAUAGCGGCGGGAAACUGCCAUUAAUACCAGAUAACGUCUCCGGACCAAAGGUGUGAUUCCGUCUGGGGAGGGGCCUGCGUCCUAUCAGCUAGUUGGUGAGGUAAUGGCCCACCAAGGCAUUGACGGGUAGCGGGUGUGAGAGCACGACCCGCAUCACUGGGACUGAGACACUGCCCAGACACCUACGGGUGGCUGCAGUCGAGAAUCUUCCGCAAUGGGCGCAAGCCUGACGGAGCGACGCCGCGUGCGGGAUGAAGGCCUUCGGGUUGUAAACCGCUGUCAGUGGGGAGGAAAUGCAUGGGGGUUCUCCCCCAUGUUUGACCGAUCCGCAGAGGAAGCACAGGCUAAGUUCGUGCCAGCAGCCGCAGUAAUAC
rnacentral:rRNA from 1 species